CGCAGCCGCAGUAAUUCCAGCUCCAAUAGCGUAUAUUAAAGUUGUUGCAGUUAAAAAGCUCGUAGUUGAAUUUCGGGGUCAGUAGGUCGGUCGUGCCACCGGUAUGUACUGGUCUCACUGAUUCCUCCUUCCUGAUGAGCCGUAAUGCCAUUAAUUUGGUGUUGCGGGGAAUUUGGACUGUUACUUUGAAAAAAUUAGAGUGUUUAAAGCAAGCUAACGCUUGAAUACAUUAGCAUGGAAUAAUGAAAUAGGACGUUCGAUCCUAUUUUGUUGGUUUCUAGGAUCAACGUAAUGAUUAAUAGGGAUAGUUGGGGGCAUUAGUAUUCAAUUGUCAGAGUGAAAUUCUUGGAUUUAUUGAAGACUAACUACUGCGAAAGCAUUUGCCAAGGAUGUUUUCAUUAAUCAAGAACGAAAGUUAGGGAUCGAAGACGAUCAGAUACCGUCGUAGUCUUAACCAUAAACUAUGACCGACUAGGGAUCGGAUGAUGUUAUUUUUAAUGUACUUCAUUCGGCGCCGUUA
rnacentral:rRNA from 1 species